ACUGCUUCUUGACCUCUUGGCUAGAAUUAAAUGUAGUAUAUACUCUCAUUAUCUAAACAUAUGGUAUAUCCACUAUCCAGGACAAUACCUUAAAUAGGUUGUUGGAGCUGGGAGACAAAAUAGUGAACUAUGGAGCUUGUUCCAUCCACUCUAUGAAUGGACCUGAAAUUGCAGUAUUUCUACAAAUAGUACACCUCUC
ensembl:snRNA Gm24764 U2 spliceosomal RNA